UACGUAGGGGGCGAGCGUUGUCCGGAUUCAUUGGGCGUAAAGCGCGCGCAGGCGGUGGCGUGAGCCCGGCGUGAAAGCCCCCAGCUCAACUGGGGGAGGCCGUCGGAGACCGCGGCACUUGAGGCCGGUAGGGGAGAGCGGAAUUCCCGGUGUAGUGGUGGAAUGCGUAGAUAUCGGGAGGAACACCAGUGGCGAAGGCGGCUUGCUGGGCCGGACCUGACGCUGAGACGCGAAGGCGUGGGGAGCGAACGGG
rnacentral:rRNA from 1 species